UGGGGAAUAUUGGACAAUGGGCGAAAGCCUGAUCCAGCCAUGCCGCGUGUGUGAAGAAGGUCUUCGGAUUGUAAAGCACUUUAAGUUGGGAGGAAGGGCAUUAACCUAAUACGUUAGUGUUUUGACGUUACCGACAGAAUAAGCACCGGCUAACUCUGUGCCAGCAGCCGCGGUAAUACAGAGGGUGCAAGCGUUAAUCGGAAUUACUGGGCGUAAAGCGCGCGUAGGUGGUUUGUUAAGUUGGAUGUGAAAUCCCCGGGCUCAACCUGGGAACUGCAUUCAAAACUGACUGACUAGAGUAUGGUAGAGGGUGGUGGAAUUUCCUGUGUAGCGGUGAAAUGCGUAGAUAUAGGAAGGAACACCAGUGGCGAAGGCGACCACCUGGACUAAUACCGACACUGAGGUGCGAAAGCGUGGGGAGCAAACA
rnacentral:rRNA from 1 species